GAUGACCCCUGUGUCUAUUUAGUCUCUGUGUUUCUUCCCGCCUGUGUCAGUUCAUUGUAUGUUGUAUGUGUUUGUGGUAUGUCAGUUAGUCGUCAGUUUGCUAGUGUCUCUUGUGCUUCCUUGUGGCUCCUUGUUUUUUCGUGUUUUGGCAUUUUGAUUUUAUCCUUUCUUUUGGUUCUGCUCUUGGGUCCACCUCCUGUGUUUUACUCACUGAACCAUAACAGUAAAUCCAGAAAAAAAAAAGGAUCCAGAGUCACAGCAGAGUGAGUGCUGCUCUUUAAAUUAUAACCCAUCAGAUUAACAUAACGGGUCAAUCAAAAGUGAAAGGGAGUCAAAAAUCACCGCCUCCUCCUGUGCAGACCUCCGUGUUAGCACCAGGAUCCAGUGAGAUGUUGAGCCGUGAUGUCCUUUGAUACGGCAAGAUGAGAUCUUGUCCUGGAGAGAGAGAUUGGCACCGUGUAGAAGAAGGAGGAGGCCUGCACAGCUCUGAAAAGACUUAACCUUCUAACACAAAGCCGUCUUGGAGAAUCUAACCAAUCAUCAACACACCAGAACAUUUACAAGCAAGCUCUCAAGCCGUGGAAGUCGACCAUCGUGAUGAACACAGUUCACCUUCCGGAUGAGAGACGACCGAUUCUACCUCUGGGCCAUGAGUUUCUGAGUCUUUGAAUGGAGAAAUCACAUCUGAAAAUGAAACUUAAGAAAAGGACUCCCACAGACCUUUUUUACAGUUUGUCUGUGUAGCAGUGUUUCCCAUACUUCCUUAUCACUGCUGAUAAGCCCGGUCAUAAAGGGAUGAACACAAGACGUUUGUGUCUCUGUGCAGGCAUGUGAAUGACUCGUAUGUACACAAGUGUGUGCAAAUGACAAAAUGUGUGUGUCUGCACCUGCUUCCAUGGAAGGAAACAUCUGCUGCAGGGUGUCAGAGGCCACCUGUCCACCUCCGUCCUGCAGGGAAACAGCAGCCGCUGAACGACCACUACAGAACUGAUCCACUGUCUGAACCAGCGAAAUCUGCAGCAGGAAGAUCUGUAAGGGGAGAAACAGCUGUCUUAUUAGAUCCUCCCAUGGCCCGCUAUCUGAGACUGUGUGAGCUUGCAUCAUUCACCCAAAUAUGUGUUGAAUAGCAUAGCAAUAGGAAAUAAUCCCUGCACACUGGAAGUAACACAUUUGCAGGGUUUGCCUGGAUGCUGGGACGUUUGAAAUUGUAAUCAAAAUGGUUUAGAAACGUGUAAACUUGCCAAAAAAAAAACAUAAAGACAACUUGCUUGAUUAAACAAAUUCUGACACUGUGCCAAUAUGAUAAAAAAAAAAAAAUUAAACGUCUUUAGUCUUGACUUAACUAUUUUGACAUCUAGAGAUCACAUUAGCACUCAAUUAUUUUACGUACAUGCAUGCUGGCCAGUGGAUGAAUCCUGCAGACUCUUCUAAUUGCCUGGCUCUUUCCUCUGGUGCUACCGUGAGAUAAACAUUUGAGGUUUCGUUGAAAUGCUUCGACAGAAAUGGGAUGAAUCAGAAUAUAUUCACUCAUCCUUCAAGAAUUACUUUGGUGAGCCGACAUUUCAUCUUGCUCAAAAGUCAAAGUCACUCAGAGGCUGUUUGAACCUGUUUUUAACCGACUAUUUAUUUAGUUGGAUCCAAUUCCAGUAAAAACCACUAUUAAGAGGAUCUCACUUUUUACACUCUGAAAGGUCUUCUGUCUUCACACUUGUCUCUUCCCAGUGAGCAAUAAGUGUGAUCUUCAUGAAGAAAGUUGGUUAGAAAUAUGUUGCAAUUGAGACCAAGACACUUUUCACACAGAAGAAAAAUAUAGACGCCCCAUCUUGUCUAUUGAUCUUUUCAACUCAAAAUCAAAAUGUUCCAUUAAAAGCAAAUCUCUAAUAUCCAAAGUAUAAUCAAACUCAAAAUAUAAAGAUUUAAGGUCUGGCUUCAGUCAAAAAAAAGGGGGACAUUUGUGGGAUAUAAAAUUGUGAAGAAGUUCAAAGUUUCUCCUCUGACCUGGAUUGAAAAUAUGUUGAAAACUACUUAUUUGAUGAAUGUGCACUCCUUCCCCCACUUCAUUGUAAGAGGGUGUUUUUGAGUGGCCAGUAGAGGGCGCUAAC